UGCAAGUCGAGCGAAAGAUAAGGAGCUUGCUCCUUUGACGUUAGCGGCGGACGGGUGAGUAACACGUGGGUAACCUACCUAUAAGACUGGGAUAACUUCGGGAAACCGGAGCUAAUACCGGAUAAUAUUUCGAACCGCAUGGUUCGAUAGUGAAAGAUGGUUUUGCUAUCACUUAUAGAUGGACCCGCGCCGUAUUAGCUAGUUGGUAAGGUAACGGCUUACCAAGGCGACGAUACGUAGCCGACCUGAGAGGGUGAUCGGCCACACUGGAACUGAGACACGGUCCAGACUCCUACGGGAGGCAGCAGUAGGGAAUCUUCCGCAAUGGGCGAAAGCCUGACGGAGCAACGCCGCGUGAGUGAUGAAGGUCUUCGGAUCGUAAAACUCUGUUAUUAGGGAAGAACAUACGUGUAAGUAACUGUGCACGUCUUGACGGUACCUAAUCAGAAAGCCACGGCUAACUACGUGCCAGCAGCCGCGGUAAUACGUAGGUGGCAAGCGUUAUCCGGAAUUAUUGGGCGUAAAGCGCGCGUAGGCGGUUUUUUAAGUCUGAUGUGAAAGCCCACGGCUCAACCGUGGAGGGUCAUUGGAAACUGGAAAACUUGAGUGCAGAAGAGGAAAGUGGAAUUCCAUGUGUAGCGGUGAAAUGCGCAGAGAUAUGGAGGAACACCAGUGGCGAAGGCGACUUUCUGGUCUGUAACUGACGCUGAUGUGCGAAAGCGUGGGGAUCAAACAGGAUUAGAUACCCUGGUAGUCCACGCCGUAAACGAUGAGUGCUAAGUGUUAGGGGGUUUCCGCCCCUUAGUGCUGCAGCUAACGCAUUAAGCACUCCGCCUGGGGAGUACGACCGCAAGGUUGAAACUCAAAGGAAUUGACGGGGACCCGCACAAGCGGUGGAGCAUGUGGUUUAAUUCGAAGCAACGCGAAGAACCUUACCAAAUCUUGACAUCCUUUGACAACUCUAGAGAUAGAGCUUUCCCCUUCGGGGGACAAAGUGACAGGUGGUGCAUGGUUGUCGUCAGCUCGUGUCGUGAGAUGUUGGGUUAAGUCCCGCAACGAGCGCAACCCUUAAGCUUAGUUGCCAUCAUUAAGUUGGGCACUCUAAGUUGACUGCCGGUGACAAACCGGAAGAAAGGUGGGGAUGACGUCAAAUCAUCAUGCCCCUUAUGAUUUGGGCUACACACGUGCUACAAUGGACAAUACAAAGGGCACCGAAACCGCGAGGUCAAGCAAAUCCCAUAAAGUUGUUCUCAGUUCGGAUUGGAGUCUGCACUCCA
rnacentral:rRNA from 1 species